GGGGCAGGCUCCGAACUGAAAGGGAAAGAAACCCUGAGCUCAGUGCAUCUGGAGAGGGGUGAUCACCCUCAGGGUGCCACAAGUCACGGACUCCUGCCAAUCCCGGGAGAGCAAGAGCAGGAGGAGGCACCGGAGAGCGAGUAGAGCUGUGGUGGCCGUCUCCUGGGAGUUUCCCAGGAGCAGGCUGGUGCAGGGAACCUUGGGAGUCGCAGCAGAAACGUGCCACCUUAGUCUCAAGAAUCCUUUGCAGCUUCUUGGGAGUGGGCGGCAGGCACUUUGCCCCCGAAGCCUGACAAGAGAGGAAUGUGAUAGGCAGUUCUGGAGGUCACCAUCUUGGGUGUAGCUGGGAACACACACCAGCGGUUGCCCAAAUCCAAAACCAGCACCGUACGGUUGCUUGCCUCGUGGCCACGCACAUCCUUUGGUUCCUGCAAUUGAGAUUACUGCACCGAGUAGGUCAAGACGCUGACAAGCCAAUCAUUUCCCCUCUACAUGGUCUGGCACGGUCU